rnacentral:rRNA from 1 species
UACACACCGCCCGUCACACCAUGGGAGUCGUUUGCUCCAGAAGUGCCUGAGCCAACCGCAAGGAGGCAGGGUCCCAAGGAGUGGAACGGUAACGUGGGGUGAAGUCGUAACAAGGUACCC